ACAAGCGGUGGAGCAUGUGGAUUAAUUCGUAAGCAACGCGCAGAACCUUACCUAGGUUUGACAUGCUUGGAUGCUUGCCUGGAAACAGGUUAAGCUGCCUUCGGGUGAAACUUGCACAGGUGCUGCAUGGCUGUCGUCAGCUCGUGUCGUGAGAUGUCGGUUAAGUCCCUUAACGAGCGAAACCCUUGCCGUUAGUUACCAGCGGGUCAUGCCGGGAACUCUAGCGGGACUGCCGGUGUUAAACCGGAGGAAGGUGGGGAUGACGUCAAGUCAUCAUGGCCUUUAUGCCUAGGGCAUCACACGUGCUACAAUGGCCGGGACAAAGCGACGCAAGACCGCGAGGUGGAGCUAAUCGCAAAAACCCGGACCCCAGUUCGGAUUGCAGGCUGGCAACUCGCCUGCAUGAAGUUGGAAUCGCUAGUAAUCGUGAAUCAGCUAUGUCACGGUGAAUGUGUUCCUGAGCCUU
rnacentral:rRNA from 1 species